rnacentral:tRNA from 1 species
GGGGUUGUGGCUCAGAGGUAGAGCACUUGUCUAGCAUGCAUGAGGCACUAGGUUUGAUCCUCAGUACCA